rnacentral:lncRNA from 1 species
GAAGACAUCUUCGCGCUCAGACAUGUGGCGACGACUUUUAAUUGUUCACUGUCUCGCAGGAUUUUGGCUGCAGUUACAUCAGAUGAACACACGGGGGCGGCCGAGCUCCAUUAUUCACCAGAACGAGAGGCAAUCUAUAGUUCGUUCACAAUCAGCACGUGUAGCUUGAACCCGAUGAAGAGCUUCAAACGAUAAGACGCAGCUUCGACUCAGUGGAUGACAGGU